ACUCGUUGGUUAAUCUUUUGAUAGUAAACAAGAAGCAGGUGUGUCACCUCUGGAUGUGUUGAAUUAACUUGUAUGAUACGCGACUUGUCAGACAACGUACUGUAAUAUCAUAUUAGCAGAAACUAUUACAGAAAUUUACACUGCAAAUUUGUUCAAUUGCUGAAAACGAAUUUCCUUUUUCUAUUUAGGAUUUAAAAAUUUAUCAGAAUUAAUACAUGAUAUUAUUAUACCUAUGUACAUAGAAGAGGAGUAGCCGAUGAAGUGAUUUUCGGUAUACUCAACACAAUGGGAAUGUGCCAGGGUUGGAUGGAUGGUAGGUGCAGAGUCACAGGGUUCAUCGAGAGCGGGUGAAAAAUAUCUGUAAGCAUUGUGCGUGGUUGAUGAAAAUUGUUUUAUUGUCCUAAAAAUUACCUCAAAUUUUGUAUAAUCAUUCUGAAAAUUACAAAAACUAAUCUACCGUAUUACGUGUGAAUAAUAACGGAUAAAAACCAAUUAGACUCUUCGAGUAUAAAGUUUAGAUUUUUUCUCUUCCGUAUUUUCUCAUUCUCCGUACAACGAUUUGUACUAACGUGUUGGUCUUACAACUUCAAACCUAAUAAAUUUACA